CUACUACUCCCUCCGUCCGAAAUUACUUGUCAUUGAAAUGGAUGUAUCUAGAUGUAUUUUAGUUCUAGACACAUCCAUUUUGAUGACAAGUAAUUCCGGACGGAGGGAGGAAGAU
rfam:Triticum aestivum genome assembly, contig: Triticum_aestivum_CS42_TGACv1_scaffold_404277_5BL